rnacentral:tRNA from 1 species
UCCCUGAUGGUCUAGUGGUUAAGAUUCUGUGCUUCCAACACAAGGGACAUGGGUUCAAUUCCUGGUCAGUGAA